rnacentral:rRNA from 1 species
AGGAUGAACGCUGGCGGCGUGCCUAAUACAUGCAAGUCGAGCGAACGGACGAGAAGCUUGCUUCUCUGAUGUUAGCGGCGGACGGGUGAGUAACACGUGGAUAACCUACCUAUAAGACUGGGAUAACUUCGGGAAACCGGAGCUAAUACCGGAUAAUAUUUUGAACCGCAUGGUUCAAAAGUGAAAGACGGUCUUGCUGUCACUUAUAGAUGGAUCCGCGCUGCAUUAGCUAGUUGGUAAGGUAACGGCUUACCAAGGCAACGAUGCAUAGCCGACCUGAGAGGGUGAUCGGCCACACUGGAACUGAGACACGGUCCAGACUCCUACGGGAGGCAGCAGUAGGGAAUCUUCCGCAAUGGGCGAAAGCCUGACGGAGCAACGCCGCGUGAGUGAUGAAGGUCUUCGGAUCGUAAAACUCUGUUAUUAGGGAAGAACAUAUGUGUAAGUAACUGUGCACAUCUUGACGGUACCUAAUCAGAAAGCCACGGCUAACUACGUGCCAGCAGCCGCGGUAAUACGUAGGUGGCAAGCGUUAUCCGGAAUUAUUGGGCGUAAAGCGCGCGUAGGCGGUUUUUUAAGUCUGAUGUGAAAGCCCACGGCUCAACCGUGGAGGGUCAUUGGAAACUGGAAAACUUGAGUGCAGAAGAGGAAAGUGGAAUUCCAUGUGUAGCGGUGAAAUGCGCAGAGAUAUGGAGGAACACCAGUGGCGAAGGCGACUUUCUGGUCUGUAACUGACGCUGAUGUGCGAAAGCGUGGGGAUCAAACAGGAUUAGAUACCCUGGUAGUCCACGCCGUAAACGAUGAGUGCUAAGUGUUAGGGGGUUUCCGCCCCUUAGUGCUGCAGCUAACGC